rnacentral:rRNA from 1 species
CUACGGGCGGCACCAGUGGGGAAUAUUGCACAAUGGGGGAAACCCUGAUGCAGCAACGCCGCGUGGAGGAUGACACAUUUCGGUGCGUAAACUCCUUUUAUAUGAGAAGAUAAUGACGGUAUCAUAUGAAUAAGCUCCGGCUAACUCCGUGCCAGCAGCCGCGGUAAUAAGGGGGGAGCAAGCGUUACUCGGAAUUACUGGGCGUAAAGCGCAUGUAGGCGGAUAGAAGAGUCAGAAGUGAAAUCCUAUAGCUUAACUAUAGAACUGCUUCUGAAACUCGCUAUCUAGAAUGUGGGAGAGGUAGAUGGAAUUUCUGGUGUAGGGGUAAAAUCCGUAGAGAUCAGAAGGAAUACCGAUUGCGAAGGCGAUCUACUGGAACAAUAUUGACGCUGAGAUGCGAAAGCGUGGGGAGCAAACAGGAUUAGAUACCCGCGUAGUC